rnacentral:tRNA from 1 species
UGCAUUGUGGUGUAUGAGGCACGAAGAUUUUUGAAGUCUUAAGAGAUGGUUUAAGUCCAUUUAAUGUAA